rnacentral:rRNA from 2 species
GAGGGUGCUAAGGUAGCGAAAUUCCUUGCCUUUUGAUUGUGGGCCUGCAUGAAUGGUUUAACGAGGGUUUGACUGUCUCUAAAUUUUUUAUUGAAAUUGUACUGAAGGUGAAGAUACCUUCAUUUAAAAGUUAGACAAAAAGACCCCGUGCAACUUUGAAAAUUAACUUUAUUCAGGAGUAAAAGAUUUUUAGGUGGGGCGCCUAGAAAGCAAGUCUAACCUUUCUGAAUAACUAACUCUUUCCGGAUUUGACCCGAUUAUAUUCGAUCAUAGGAGAAGUUACGCCGGGGAUAACAGGCUAAUCCUUUAGUAGAGUUCGUAUUGGCUAAAGGGAUUGGCACCUCGAUGUUGAAUCAGGGAUAAUAGCUUCAAGGCGUAGAGGCUUUGAAAGUAGGUCUGUUCGACCUUUAAUACC